AACGAACGCUGGCGGCGUGCCUAACACAUGCAAGUCGAACGUGAAAGUCCUUCGGGGCGAGUAAAGUGGCGCACGGGUGAGUAACGCGUAGAUAAUCUACCCGAUGAUCUGGGAUAACAUUUCGAAAGAGGUGCUAAUACCGGAUAAGCCCACGAGGUCUUAGGAUCUUGCGGGAAAAGGGGGGGACCUUCGGGCCUUCUGUCAUCGGAUGAGUCUGCGUACCAUUAGCUAGUUGGUGGGGUAAGAGCCCACCAAGGCGACGAUGGUUAGCUGGUCUGAGAGGAGGAUCAGCCACACUGGAACUGAGACACGGUCCAGACUCCUACGGGAGGCAGCAGUGGGGAAUUUUGCGCAAUGGGGGAAACCCUGACGCAGCAACGCCGCGUGAGUGAUGAAGGCCUUCGGGUCGUAAAGCUCUGUCAGAGGGAAAGAAAUGUAUUGUGGCUAAUAUCCACGAUACUUGACGGUACCCUCAAAGGAGGCACCGGCUAACUCCGUGCCAGCCGCCGCCGUAAUAC
rnacentral:rRNA from 1 species